GACGAACGCUGGCGGCGUGCUUAACACAUGCAAGUCGAACGGAAAGGCCCUGCUUUUGUGGGGUGCUCGAGUGGCGAACGGGUGAGUAACACGUGAGUAACCUGCCCUUGACUUUGGGAUAACUUCAGGAAACUGGGGCUAAUACCGGAUAGGAGCUCCUGCUGCAUGGUGGGGGUUGGAAAGCUUCGGCGGUUGGGGAUGGACUCGCGGCUUAUCAGCUUGUUGGUGGGGUAGUGGCUUACCAAGGCUUUGACGGGUAGCCGGCCUGAGAGGGUGACCGGCCACAUUGGGACUGAGAGACGGCCCAGACUCCUACGGGAGGCAGCAGUGGGGAAUAUUGCACAAUGGGCGGAAGCCUGAUGCAGCAACGCCGCGUGCGGGAUGACGGCCUUCGGGUUGUAAACCGCUUUCGCCUGUGACGAAGCGUGAGUGACGGUAAUGGGUAAAGAAGCACCGGCUAACUACGUG
rnacentral:rRNA from 1 species